CCUACGGGAGGCAGCAGUCGAGAAUCAUUCACAAUGGGGGAAACCCUGAUGGUGCGACGCCGCGUGGGGGAAUGAAGGUCUUCGGAUUGUAAACCCCUGUCAUGUGGGAGCAAAUUAAAAAGAUAGUACCACAAGAGGAAGAGACGGCUAACUCUGUGCCAGCAGCCGCGGUAAUACAGAGGUCUCAAGCGUUGUUCGGAAUCACUGGGCGUAAGGCGUGCGUAGGCUGUUUCGUAAGUCGUGUGUGAAAGGCGCGGGCUCAACCCGCGGACGGCACAUGAUACUGCGAGACUAGAGUAAUGGAGGGGUAACCGGAAUUCUCGGUGUAGCAGUGAAAUGCGUAGAUAUCGAGAGGAACACUCGUGGCGAAGGCGGGUUCCUGGACAUUAACUGACGCUGAGGCACGAAGGCCAGGGGAGCGAAAGGGAUUAGAUACCCCAGUAGUC
rnacentral:rRNA from 1 species